UGGUUCCGGCAUCGAUGAAGAACGCAGCGAAAUGCGAUAACUAAUGUGAAUUGCAGAAUUCAGUGAAUCAUCGAGUCUUUGAACGCACAUUGCGCCCCCUGGUAUUCCGGGGGGCAUGCCUGUCCGAGCGUCAUUGCUGCCCUCAAGCACGGCUUGUUGUUGGGCCCCGUCCCCCUCUCCGGGGGACGGGCCCGAAAGGCAGCGGCGGCACCGAGUCCGGUCCUCGAGCGUAUGGGGCUUUGUCACCCGCUCCGUAGGCCCGGCCGGCGCCAGCCGACCACCAAAUCAUCCUUUUUUUCAGGUUGACCUCGGAUCAGGUAGGGAUACCCGCUGA
rnacentral:misc_RNA from 1 species